rnacentral:rRNA from 1 species
CAUCGAGUUUUUGAACGCAAGUUGCGCCCGAAGCCUUUGCGUAAGGGCACGUCUGCCUGGGCGUCACGC